ACGCUGGCGGCGUGCCUAAUACAUGCAAGUAGAACGCACAGGAUGCACCGUAGUUUACUACACCGUAUUCUGUGAGUUGCGAACGGGUGAGUAACGCGUAGGUAACCUGCCUGGUAGCGGGGGAUAACUAUUGGAAACGAUAGCUAAUACCGCAUAAGAACAUUUACUGCAUGGUAGAUGUUUAAAAGGUGCAAAUGCAUCACUACCAGAUGGACCUGCGUUGUAUUAGCUAGUAGGUGAGGUAACGGCUCACCUAGGCGACGAUACAUAGCCGACCUGAGAGGGUGAUCGGCCACACUGGGACUGAGACACGGCCCAGACUCCUACGGGAGGCAGCAGUAGGGAAUCUUCGGCAAUGGGGGGAACCCUGACCGAGCAACGCCGCGUGAGUGAAGAAGGUUUUCGGAUCGUAAAGCUCUGUUGUUAAGGAAGAACGAGUGUGAGAAUGGAAAGUUCAUACUGUGACGGUACUUAACCAGAAAGGGACGGCUAACUACGUGCCAGCAGCCGCGGUAAUACGUAGGUCCCGAGCGUUGUCCGGAUUUAUUGGGCGUAAAGCGAGCGCAGGCGGUUAGAUAAGUCUGAAGUUAAAGGCAGUGGCUCAACCAUUGUAGGCUUUGGAAACUGUUUAACUUGAGUGCAGAAGGGGAGAGUGGAAUUCCAUGUGUAGCGGUGAAAUGCGUAGAUAUAUGGAGGAACACCGGUGGCGAAAGUGGCUCUCUGGUCUGUAACUGACGCUGAGGCUCGAAAGCGUGGGGAGCGAACAGGAUUAGAUACCCUGGUAGUCCACGCCGUAAACGAUGAGUGCUAGGUGUUAGGUCCUUUCCGGGACUUAGUGCCGCAGCUAACGCAUUAAGCACUCCGCCUGGGGAGUACGACCGCAAGGUUGAAACUCAAAGGAAUUGACGGG
rnacentral:rRNA from 1 species